GUUGUACACAAAGCAGCACUGCACUCUGCUUUAAAUGAAAUCGACCAAUCAGACCAAUCACCGCGGAUUAGCGUCAAGCAAAGGAGGGGUUUGGAAAAAUGGACCGUUGAGCGAAUCGUUUGGGAGUCGUUGAGCAAAUAAGCUGUUUGGGCUCUAAUUCUGAUGGCACCCAUGCAGAGCAUCCAUUGGUAUGCGAGUGAUGCAAUGCUACAAGUUGUUUCCGAUGAAGAAACAAACUCAUCUAAAUCUUGGAUGUCCUGACGCUCACCGCCAUUUAGUACAAAUUACAGCCAUCAGCUCCACCCACGUUGCAUCGUAGCUGUCGAUUCCUGAGGGAGCAAUUCUUCAAAUCUUCUUCAAAUUUUUCUUCCACAUGCCCAGCUGCACAUACUCCGUCGACUCUCUGUCCUUCUACUCCUGGCUUGUGAAUUCCACUCAAUUGCCCCGGUUAAUGGAGAGAACACAAUAAAGCAUCAAACACUCUUGGAGGUAAAACUCCUCUAUAUGAACCGACAUUGAGCGGGAAACCUCGGAGCCCGAAUCGGCCUCAGCACAGCCUGGUUCUGUUUAGCGAUGCUGGGUUUACAUGAUCGCCAGCCACGACUGCCAUAUUGAUAGACCCUUCGCCAUGGCGCGGUAAUGCAGCCGGAAUGAGCAGAGAACUAAAAUCAGCCAUGCACCCUCACGCCUACCACUGGCGUUCGACUCCGCUGUAAUAGUUUCUAUUUGUGGAAGAGGAAGGAUAUAAACAAAUGCAUUAGCUUUGCCUCGCCACAGGAACGACGGGGGAAAACAAGUCAAAGUGAACAGCGGGAAAGAGAGGAGGUGAGGCGGUGGGUGCAGAAAGGAGUGGGGGAAGGCAGGAAUGAAAUGAAAAUGUUGCGAUUGGGAUGUAAAACUGCAAAGUGGCGUGAACAGAUAAGGGACGGAGAGAGAGAGAGUGAGAGUGAGAGAGGACGAAGAUGGUGAGUAGAUCCAAUCUCCAACCCUGUCAAUCAAAACCGCAGUGUUUACUGCCCACACAUCCCUGCCCCUUUUACAGGCAUUACACAUGCAGCGAAGACUGUCUCGCUUCAGCCGUAUUGAUCAUGUGCCAGGGCAGACCGGUGGCCUCUGCUGAUUGAAUAUAUUGGAUGACUUCCAUUGUGGAGCUUCGUCUUCAAAGUGGUUCUGAAGCUCUGGAUCAAACGCGGAGUGUCGUAAGUGAUUACGGACGAUAAUGAUAAUGACUUUGUUCUGUUCUGGAUGACUGUUUGAUGAAGUUUGUUAGGCUUCUUCUGCGGCUCUGAAGUUCAAAGAGGCAUGCCGACCACUUCCUGAAACCAAAGACCCAUGAGAGAUCACAAUACAGGAGAGUUCAAGAGAAUGCAUCACCUAGGACAACAAACGCAUGAACAAACACACGCAGUGCAGCUCUGUCCCUGCUGCUG